AUAAAAGUUAAUUUUUAAAUCAAAUCUUAUGUAUUAAAUACAGAACUUAAAAUUUAGAUCUUAGUUGCAAUAUAAGGGAGAUUAUAUACCUUUUGCAUCAUGUAUAAAUGACUUAUAAAAUUAAUUUUUUUUACGAAUAAUCUAGAAUUAAGGCCUCUCAAAAGACUGUUUUAUUAUUCUUAGGUAAGAGGUCUUAGGAACGAUAUGUUAAAAUUAGAUUUCUUCUUAUUAAAUUUUGUUAGAUUAAAUCUAAAUCACAGUAAUAAUACAUUAUUUAAGAGACAAGUCUUAAAUAAAGAUCUAAAUUAUAAACUUAAAUACUGCCCGAUAAAAAUAAAAGUUUUAAAAAGAACCUGUUAAAAUUCCAUUUUUUCUAGUUUUAGUUAUUGAAAAUAAAAAUUUAAUUUAGACAAAUAGAACACCUAAAUUUAAAAUAUUUAUAUUAGUAGUAAAUUUGUUAAAAUUUAACUUAUAUAAAAAUUAUUAUUAUUAAUAAAAAAAUUUAAAUAAAAUUACUCGACUUUUACUAUUUAGCCUGUUUAUCAAAAACACCUUAAAUCAUAUUUAUAUUACCUGCUCAAUGAAUUAUUUAAAUAGCCGCACUAGCGCCAAGGUAGCAUAGUAAUUAGUUUUUUAAUUGAAAAAUAGAAUGAACGGUUUCACUAAAAUAAAAUUUUUAGGAUGUAUCACGAAAUUUUAAUUUAGGUGAAAAUACCUAAAUGAUGUUUUUAGACGAGAAGACCCUAUGAAGCUAAUAACCUAAAAUAGUCCUACUAUAAUUAAAAAGGUUAAUUUUUUGGGGUAAAACUAAAUCUUUUUAUUUAAAAAAUUAUAAUUAAGUUAAUCCUAUUUAAGGAAUUAUUAAAAAGCUCCUCUAGGGAUAACAGCAUUAUGCCUAAAAGAGUUCUUAUCAGAAUAGGUGUUUGUGACCUCGAUGUUGAAUUAAGUUACCAUAUAUGUGCAGGAGCUUAUAUUUUGGAAAGGUCUGUUCGACCUAUAAUUACUUACAUGAUUUGAGUUAAAAUCGACGAAAGUCAGAUUGGUUUCUAUCUAAAAUUUUUAGUAUUGAAAUUUAGUACGAAAGGAAUUAUUUUAAGUUUUAUAUAUUAAAAACAUAUCAAUGAAAUGAUACGAUUUACUAUAUCUAACUAAAAACCAACUUUUUAGUCAAGAAUGG
rnacentral:rRNA from 1 species